ACACCGCACACCAUUCAAGUGGUGUUUCUAAACCGCAGAGCUCUUGUUCUUAAAUCGAAGGUAUAAGCUUCUUGACCGGAUUGUUCACCGGUUGAUACUUCUCUUCAAUCGAUUUCAAGGGUAAACCUCACCAUUCAAUCGGUAUUCAUCUACACCGCACACUACUUAAGCGGAUUAAAGGUAAACCUUAUACAACUUGAGCGGAGAUGAGCGGAGAACGAGCGGAGAGGUAAACCGAUCAAUCUUGAUCUGAUAGUGUUCGGAUUCGUCUAAACAGGUAAGUCUUCCAUCUCAGAUUGUCCGGUAUUCAUGUAUACCGAUCAACCCUUGACCGGAGUAGUGAGCGGUUUUGGUUUUGCUUUAAGCGGAGUUGAUCGGUUUAGGACUUAGAAUUUGUGCAUAGAAGUAUUUUGAGCGGACUUCUAAUCCGCUUAAUUCCUCUUACCCAGAUUCCUAUAUCAUUCUCUGUUUUUGAUUCAAUUUGGGUGUAUAUUGUUUCUCGAUUUGAUUUUAUUCAACAUAAUUGUCACUUGAAUUCAUGCUGUCCGGUUUAGAAUGUUCAUUCAUGCUGUUCGGUUUAUCUUCAAGUAUUGACAGGUUUGUGAUUUGAGGACUGGAACAGAAGAUAUCUUAUACAUUGUAGCAUUGUAUUCUAUUUUUUACUUGAGUUUUGGUUUAGUAGCAUCAACAACUAGCAGGCUGUAUAGUGAUUAACAACAGUUUAGUAGGCUGUUUUGUGGAGAAGAAAGUGUUUGCUGUUUUGUUAAACAGGCUUGCUGUCAUACUCUAAUAAUGCCCAGAUUUCACAGGUUUAAUCAGGAGAAAUAGUGUCUGUUGACUCUUGCUAAAACAGCUGUGUGCAGUGUUUAAGCAGGUUUGUAUCUGUGUUGGGAGUGUAGUUGUUGGUGUGGAGAAGAAGGUUUCAGCUUAGUCUGUGUUGAGCACUUUGUCCCAGCAACACCAGGUGCCUGAUUUAGUAUGUGCAGAUGCUUGAUUUUAAAGUUUAGUGCAGCAACUAUAUUUUGACAGCAACUACAUUUUGACAGCAACUAUUGUGAAAGCAUCAUCAGCAGUGUGCAGGUUUAAGGCUGUUUUGAAGCUGUUACAUAGCUAAACAGCAAGCAGGUUUUGUUUAUUCAAAAGCAUCUAAACAGCAGCUAAACAGCAGGUCACAGUUUGAAAUAGCAGCAAUUAGACUGUUUUGACAACAGUUUUGAAGCUGAGAUAUUACUGGUUCAUUGUGAAAAACAGCAGCCGAGGUGAAGUAAACUGUUUAGUAUUGAGUUUGAAACAGAAGCAGGUUUGAUAGUCAAUAUUGGUUACAUUCCAGCUAAACAGGUAAAUCAUAAUACAUUUUGGAAGGUUUUCAAGCAUAGCAAGGAUUGGUUUUGGACAGUUUAACUGAUUUGAAAGCCUGUUGAAUUGACUUUACUUUCUGGGAUUAAGAUCAAGUCACAGCAGCCCA